rnacentral:rRNA from 1 species
UACGAAGGAUUCGAGCGUUAUCCGGAUUUAUUGGGUUUAAAGGGUGCGUAGGCGGCCUAUUAAGUCAGUGCUGAAAUAUCCCGGCUUAACCGGGAGGGUGGCAUUGAUACUGAUGGGCUUGAGUAGAGUUGAGGUUGGCGGAAUUGACGGUGUAGCGGUGAAAUGCUUAGAUAUCGUCAAGAACACCUAUUGCGAAGGCAGCUAACUAAGCUCAAACUGACGCUGAGGCACGAAAGUGUGGGGAUCAAACAGG